CCUGUAUGAUGAUAAGCAAAAACUGACUGAACAUGAAGGUCUUAAUUAUUAGCUCUACCUGAUU
ensembl:snoRNA